rnacentral:rRNA from 1 species
AACGCCAAGCAAAACGUUCUUUAACAAUAUAUCAAAGCCAAGCAAUCUGUGUGGGCACUUACAUUGAUUGAGCAACUUAAAAAGCUACCUAGGUAGCAGAGUCGGACGGCAAGCUUGUCUUGCAAUAAGAAUCAAAAUGCUCAUGAAAUGCUGGUGACCAAACAAAGCGGUCUUUAAUGACCAAAUUGAUUUAAGAACCAACGAUUCAUUGAGCACUUGCAUAUCAAAAUCUUUAAUUGAAGAGUUUGAUCAUGGCUCAGAUUGAACGCUGGCGGCAGGCCUAACACAUGCAAGUCGAGCGGUAACAUUUCUAGCUUGCUAGAAGAUGACGAGCGGCGGACGGGUGAGUAAUACUUGGGGAUCUGCCUGAUGGAGGGGGACAACCACUGGAAACGGUGGCUAAUACCGCAUGACGCCUACGGGCCAAAGUGUGGGACCUUCGGGCCACACGCCAUCAGAUGAACCCAAGCGAGAUUAGCUAGUUGGUGAGGUAACGGCUCACCAAGGCGACGAUCUCUAGCUGGUCUGAGAGGAUGAUCAGCCACACUGGGACUGAGACACGGCCCAGACUCCUACGGGAGGCAGCAGUGGGGAAUAUUGGACAAUGGGCGCAAGCCUGAUCCAGCCAUGCCGCGUGUGUGAAGAAGGCCUUAGGGUUGUAAAGCACUUUCAGUGGUGAGGAAGGCGUUGUAGUUAAUAGCUGCAACGAUUGACGUUAGCCACAGAAGAAGCACCGGCUAACUCCGUGCCAGCAGCCGCGGUAAUACGGAGGGUGCGAGCGUUAAUCGGAAUUACUGGGCGUAAAGCGCACGUAGGCGGCUUGUUAAGCAAGAUGUGAAAGCCCAGGGCUCAACCUUGGAAUUGCAUUUUGAACUGGCAAGCUAGAGUUUUGAAGAGGGUGGUAGAAUUUCCAGUGUAGCGGUGAAAUGCGUAGAUAUUGGAAGGAAUACCAGUGGCGAAGGCGGCCACCUGGUCAAAAACUGACGCUGAGGAGCGAAAGCGUGGGGAGCAAACAGGAUUAGAUACCCUGGUAGUCCACGCCGUAAACGAUGUCGACUAGUUGUUCGUGUCUUUAAGAUGUGAGUAACGCAGCUAACGCACUAAGUCGACCGCCUGGGGAGUACGGCCGCAAGGUUAAAACUCAAAUGAAUUGACGGGGGCCCGCACAAGCGGUGGAGCAUGUGGUUUAAUUCGAUGCAACGCGAAGAACCUUACCAUCCCUUGACAUCCAGAGAAUCAUCUAGAGAUAGAUGAGUGCCUUCGGGAACUCUGAGACAGGUGCUGCAUGGCUGUCGUCAGCUCGUGUUGUGAGAUGUUGGGUUAAGUCCCGCAACGAGCGCAACCCUUAUCCUUAGUUGCCAGCACAUAAUGGUGGGAACUCUAGGGAGACUGCCGGUGAUAAACCGGAGGAAGGUGGGGACGACGUCAAGUCAUCAUGGCCCUUACGGGAUGGGCUACACACGUGCUACAAUGGCGCACACAAAGGGCAGCAAGCUAGCGAUAGCAAGCGAAUCUCAAAAAGUGCGUCGUAGUCCGGAUUGGAGUCUGCAACUCGACUCCAUGAAGUCGGAAUCGCUAGUAAUCGUGGAUCAGAAUGCCACGGUGAAUACGUUCCCGGGCCUUGUACACACCGCCCGUCACACCAUGGGAGUGGGCUGCACCAGAAGUAGAUAGCUUAACCUUCGGGAGGGCGUUUACCACGGUGUGGUUCAUGACUGGGGUGAAGUCGUAACAAGGUAGCCGUAGGGGAACCUGCGGCUGGAUCACCUCCUUA